rnacentral:rRNA from 1 species
UGGGGAAUCUUCCACAAUGGGCGAAAGCCUGAUGGAGCGACGCCGCGUGAGAGAAGAAGGCCUUCGGGUUGUAAAUCUCUGUCUUCGUGGAAGAAUGUGUCUUAUGUGAAUAAUGUAAGACAAUGACGGUACACGAGGAGGAAGCCACGGCUAACUACGUGCCAGCAGCCGCGGUAAUACGUAGGUGGCGAGCGUUGUCCGGAAUUAUUGGGCGUAAAGCGCGCGCAGGUGGUUGCACAAGUCUUUCUUUAAAGUGCUGGGCUUAACCCAGUGAUGGGAAAGAAACUGUGUGACUUGAGUGCAGGAGGGGUAAGCAGAAUUCCCAGUGUAGCGGUGAAAUGCGUAGAUAUUGGGAGGAAUACCAGUGGCGAAGGCGGCUUACUGGACUGUAACUGACACUGAGGCGCGAAAGCCAGGGGAGCAAACGGG